ensembl:lncRNA
GAGAUUUUAUUCCAGGAACAAGUCAGGGACAAGUGCCAAGGGGAAUGGGGUCCGGUUACAAUUUAUAAAGGGUGUGGGUGUGAAAGGGUGGCGACAUGGAAUAACCAGUGGAGACAGAGCACAGUAUGAUUACAUCGUGGGUCAUGACCAGUGGAGAAAAGACAGGGGAGGGGGGAAGGAAGCCUCAGGGGACCAACCAACUGCAAGAACAGGGAUGAUUGACCGAGAACUUUUGAGACCCAGAUGGGGGUGGCUACAAUGACAGGGGAGGUGGGCAGCACAACUUGGAUUGACACAUCUAUUUUAGGGUAAAAAGGAGAGGAACAGGGUGAUUGGCACUCUGAAUGACAGCUAAGUGGCAGGAAAACCUAGGAGUAAGCAACCUGGAAGAAACCAUUAUGAGGGGAAGGAAUAGGGGGUACAAGGAAUAUAGCAACCGAAACUUUCUAACAUUAAACUUCUAACUCAUAACAUCUUGCAAAACACACACCAUCACACCAGAGGUUUGGGCUCUGUCUAAGGCAUGAGGGAGAGGAAGCUGAUAGCCUUCUACAUAGAUGCAAAUUCUUGGAAGAACCAAAUGUAGAAGGAAGACCAACCUAUCACACUGACUUAAAAAAGCAUCUCUGUCUAAAAAUGAUAGAAGCAAGUAUCUCAUGUAAGGCUUUUUCCCUUUCAUAGAUGUCUGCACUCCUGCCUUUACUGUGAAUAUAUUCUUUACCAGGAUUUGUACUGAUUGUUGUUGCCUAGUUCUUCUUAGAAGUGCCUAUCUCCAAGAUGAAGCAAAACUGUGAGUGGGCAGGCCAUGUGCAGAGAUGCAGCACUUGAAAGACCUGUUGUCAGUCACUUCACAGUCUUUUUUUGAGAAAUCCUUGUACAUCAGUGUAUGACAUGGGGAGUGUUCAGUGGGUAGACUUACGUCAUGAAACCAAGAAGUGUUUAUCUUUGCCUCAGUUGGCAGAGGAAGAAACACAAAAACAGCCUGGGAAGCAGGCUGAAGGUAUACAUAUCUCUAAAGCUUACACCAGUUAUCCAGAGGAUGCCAGGGUGUCACAGGUUACCUGAUAGUAAUUGAUGUAGAGUUGUGUUUUUAUGUUCUGUUAUAUUUGUAUUAUGUACUAAGUUUGUUCUAUGUACCCCUGAUUUGCAGUUGGUAUGCUCCUAAAUUUCCCGCCUUCCCUUCACUGUCCAUCACCCCAAUCCUGCUGAUUCAUCCCCCGUCCCCUCCCAGGGUCCCUGUCUGUCAUCCGGCAUCCCUGCCCCACCAUCUAGAAGUUUCCAUCCAGGGUGUUUGGGUGAUUGGGCCCAGCCCUGGGGCCUCUCCCACAUCCCUCUUCCUAUUGGCCAUUCCCAAAGAGCAAGCCACUCCCCUUGAAUUCCCAUUGGCCCAAGUUUUCCCCUGCCCUGUCCUAUAAAACCCUCGGUUUCUCUGUUCAAGGUGCCUUCUCUGGCAGGCACCAACCCAGUUGCUCUGUUCGCGGUGCCUUCUCUGGCAGGCACCAGCCCGGUUGGUUGGUUCCUCGCUUCUGCGUUGUCCCCGUUGGGACUCAAUAAAGAGGAUUUCGGCCCCCAGAGGAGGACUCUCUUCAUUCAUUACGCUGCGGGGUUCUGGCUGCUUCUUUUGACCCAAACAGCGCUCCUCAAAGCCCACAGCGGUCCAGCGAGGGGUGCUGGAGACCUGCCCGCUCUCUCCAUCGCAGAGAGCUAGCGGGGGGCGAGACAGGCUUCAGGGAGAGAACGCGGCAAAUUGAAUUCCUGCAAAUUAGUUGACAGUGGUGUGAAGACUGUGGGAGCCCUGGUGGUAACUCUGUGUAUUAAAGUAGUCACCAAGAAAUCCAAAGUCUGCCAAUAUGGAUAUCAAGUUGCCAAAGUUUUGCAGAUGUUCACUAGAUCACUUUGUUAUGAACAAAAAUAAAAUUUAAACUUUUGGGGAAAUGUAGUUAACAAUUAUAUAUAAGGUUAAAUGUUUUUGGUACAAGUAACAAAGUGUGAUUAGAAGUGUAGUUAACAAUGUAUGAGGUUAAAUGUUGUAGGUACAAGUAACAAAAUGGUGGUUAGUACUGUUGUGCAUGUAUAAAGUGGGAGCGGAACUGGGGAAGAGAUGGGGGUGCCAAUCUUUGUGGAGGGGCAAGGAAGCUUCCAGAGGAAGCUCAGCAAUGGCGAAAUAGACCUAUCACAGCACGGAUCCUGAGCGCCCCUACCAGGAGACAAAAAGAGGCUUUAUAAGGCCAGGGGUCUCUGAUGCCCGGGUCUUUCCGGAGCCGCUUUCCUUGGAAACACCCCUAGGUUACGAUCACUAAGUUGUUGAAACAGUCUCCGGACUAGCCAGAGGCUUUUGCUUCCAGUUGUUCAGUUUGUAAUAAACAGGCUUACUUGUGUUUUAAUCAACUAGCCUUUUUAUUACUUUAAAAUUUUCUUUGUAAGCCUAUCCAUAACAACUUUGAAUUAGCAUUCUGUGUUAUACCACUAUCAGUUUGUUUAUUUGAUCCAAUAUUAGAAUCUGUGUAGCCAGAUUUUGUUGUAUUGUAAAGCCUGAGCUUUUACAAGAAGACUCACAGGCAACGUCAGUUUAAAAGGAAAGAAUAACCUCUAUCCUCCAUCAUUUGUGUUUAAAUCUGCUCAGUAUUUCUAUCUGCUAAGAUCCUUAAAUAGCCAGAUCACUGUCAAAAUGCCCUAUUAAGCUAUGCUUAAGUCCACUAAGUGCGUAACCAAAACUUUGACUUUUUGGCUUUACCAAAAUCUAGGGGAUAUUUUCCUAGCUCAGAAAUGAACUUUGCAUGCACAUAAUCCAAAGUGGAGUUUGCUAGUAAACUGCUGCUAUAAUCCAAACGAAAGUAGUUUUUUUAGGGUCAUGAAAUUGUUUUUUCUAUUAUAAGAAAUUCACUACCAGAUAAUAUUUAAAUGAUCUUAAGUUAAAAGAACGAUUACUGAUUAUUUUUAUUAAGACAUACCAAAUUUUAAUCGUAAGAGUUCGACAAUGGUCCUUUAACAAUACUUGGAUUAAAUAUUUUUAAAAUACAUUGUAAUUUUAAAUACUGUGUCUUGUGAGCAUUUAGAACUGUGUUGAUUUCUUUGUUACAUCUAAAUAUGUGUUAAUGUAGUUUUCAGUAGACUGGGGAGUUGACAUAAAAAUCAGAUGGGAAGUUUUGUUCUGUAAUCUGUCAAGGCUGUUAUGAUGUUAAACAACAGUUUGCACAUAAUUUUUUUUUUCAUGUAUUAUCAUAAUAAAAAUUAUAAUCCUAUGCAGUUAAGUAAUAAUUUCUAGGUAUAUCUCAACACAAGCACUUUUCAUUCUAGAUGGAGUAUACUUACAAGUUGCUGGCAAAAUCUUUUAUGCUUCUGAGAAAGACACUGCAUUAAAAAUGUUUACCCAUUAUACAUGCACUUUGCCUUGUAAGAGCAGUCAUCUCUAGCCAAAGAAAAACAAAAUAAUGCAGCUUUGUUAUGGAGUGUGUGAGGGAGAUAAAGGUGGAGGAAAAGGAGGAUUUAUUAAUAUUUAAUGUUAAAAAUCUAGGUCUCAGCAUUCAACCAACACUGAUCCAAGUUCCUAUUUAUGCAUAUGUAACUUAAAUCAGUAAGCACUACCUCUUGGGUCUAAAAAUUCAACCAUGUAUUAUCCAAAAUACUGCUAGUCCAUCUAAACUCCUUUCACUUUCAAAUUGAAUUAGGAAGUAUAAAAAUGAUCGAGAAGCAAUGAAAAAAAACAUUCAUUAUGUUCUAUUUUAAAUUUAUUUGACGUUAACUAUUACAU